rnacentral:rRNA from 1 species
AGUGAACGCUGGCGGUAGGCCUAACACAUGCAAGUCGAACGGCAGCACAGUAAGAGUUUGCCUUUACGGGUGGCGAGUGGCGGACGGGUGAGGAAUACAUCGGAAUCUACUUUUUCGUGGGGGAUAACGUCGGGCAACUUACGCUAAUACCGCAUACGACCUACGGGUGAAAGCAGUGGAUCUUCGGACCUUGCGCGAUUGAAUGAGCCGAUGUCGGAUUAGCUAGUUGGCGGGGUAAAGGCCCACCAAGGCGACGAUCCGUAGCUGCUCUGAGAGGAUGAUCAAGCCCCCUGUCACUGAGCCACGGUCCCCACUACUACGGAAGGCACCAGUGUGAAAUCUUUGAAAAUGAGCGCACGCCCGACCCAGGCAUACCGCGUCGGUGACGGAGCUCUUGGAGUUGUAAAGCAGUUGUGUUGGGAGAGAACAGCAGCUAGUGAUAGUCUGGAUGUUAUGACGGUACCCACUGAAUAAGCCACGGCUAGCUACGUG